CAUUCUGUAGAAUAUUCUUAUAUUUCACUUUUACUUGUUCCCAUGUUCUAGUGGGUCCUGUUGUGGCUCUAAUGUGAAAGAGGAUAUAAUGUAAUAUAAUAUAAUAAAUUACUUACGAGUUUAAUUUGUCAGCAACUUUCUGCCAGCCCUCUCUCCUUGCUUUUGCAGCCUUUGCAGUGUUCCCUUGCGUUUUAAUUAAACUCCGAAACUCCUGAAAUCCCUCAAUCAAGAGUUCUUGCUCUGCUGCCGUAAAAUACUAAGCGCGCUCCUUCGACAUCUUCGCCGACCAAUCACAGGGUUGCCGAUCAAUGUUUCUACUAUCGAUGCGUAGCCCCUUUUAAGCCACCCAGUGAUCUCACAUUACUUCAUCCAGCUAUACUAAUCGUCAACAACAGGUGUGUUCGGAGAACCGGAUUAGCGAGCUCAAAGUUGGCGCGAUGAUUUGAUCUUGGAUGUGUCAUUUGAUCUUGGAUGUAGUAAGCGAGGUACGAAGAACGGACCCCUGAUGAUCCACCAGGACAAACUCAGCAGUGUGUGAGGAAGAGGAGGAGGAAGAGCCAGCAGCAGCCGACAGAUGGAGAGAAUAGACAGACUGUUCCCUGUUUGUGAAGGACUGCUAGAAAAGUUUAAAAGAAAUGCAAAACACUGGGCGCGAAUAACGUUACAGGUGGAUCAAUUCUUGUGAAGGAUAUGGCUGCAGGAGACAAGUCCGUUCUGAGUUACUCAGAGAACUUGCUAACCGCUUAGAUUGUACGUCUUCACCUCAGUCUGAGAGAGUAUUGCAGCAGUGUACUGGAGAUGAAGCGGUCCCUGGUCCAAGUUCUCAUCACAACCGCACAGUGUUAACGUUAGCAAAUGCUAACGCUUUCACAGCUAGCUCCACUCCACGAAACGCUGUUCAGGGUCAUAACACGAACAAGUCGUCAAGUUAAGCAGCUGAGGAAAGGGCUUAAGGAGACCAUGGUAUGGCCGCUUCUGACAGAAAGAUCAGACAUCAUUCCUCUUUUCUUACCAAGGGAAUCAGAGACUGCUCCCUGUUGUGAGCAUCUUGUGCACAACGAAAAGCCCUCAUCAAGUUUUGGACAGGAUGGGAAGUCUUGCCGAGAGAAAUGACUGUGGAAGUGGUCAACAGCAGUCUUCCAAAGUCUUCCACCUGUUUUGAAGUUCUACGUCUUCCUGCACACUACUGUACCUAUGAGUCAUUUCUAAUGGACAUUCAGGUGUGUCUCAACUCUACUGACUCAGGUUUUGGUCUGGUUUAGGAUUGAUUCCAUAACCACAUGGUAAGAUUAGACCAUUUCUUCUUUCUUGCAUCACAUUACUGUAUUCAGUGUUCAAAGAAACGGACAAUCUAGCGAGUUCUAGUUCCUUUUAAUACACUUGACAGUGAAAAAUGCACAGUACAGGUGAGCAUUUAUGGUUUGUUUUAAUAUAA